rnacentral:lncRNA from 1 species
UUUUACGGGCUCACCAACGAACCUAUGUUGGUUUUACGGGCUCACCAACGAACCUUUACAAUUGGUUUUACGGGUUCACCAAUCAACCUAUUCCGUUGGUUUUGCGGGCUAACCAACUAACCUUUACAAGGAGUUUAAUAAACAAAGAAAGAAGAUUUAAGCUCCUAGAUGAGCAAAUAUAACAAUAUAAUCUACAAAGAAGAGUUUAGAGAAUAG